GAAUCAUUGAGUUCUCGUGCCUGAUAGCUUCCAACUGGACCAGAGAUGAAGGAGGUGGAGUGUGAAGUGUUACCGUGAGAAAAUAUCUUGAACUUCUACUCUGUUGUCCCAGAGUCGAUGUAUUCUACCUUUGUCGACCAGAACUUCUCCAUCAUACAGUCCAAACUUGUGGGUCUGGAAAGCACAAACUCUGUAAAUGAGAAACUGGUGAUGAUGUUAAGUAAGUUAUUUAUAUUUUAAGUCCCUGAUUUUAGACUCAUGUAUUUUACCUACUCGGAAAAAAUCAUAUUAUGGUUGUUGAUUUAGAAUACACAUCCUAAAAAGUGACAUCCCAUCUUUGUAUGGUCUCAUGUCUGAGCUAGGCAUCCCACUGAAAUCUUUAACUUAACAUGCCAUUGUUCCACUACGCACCACCCAGCAGCUAAUUGGUCUCCACGCAGAAUGGUGCUAUUAGGGGGACUCAGUGAUUGUCUUGUAUGUAUGGACAUCAUGCAGUAACAGGAGAUAAAUUUGUGUUGGAGACAGGGAACCCAUGCUACUGAAUUUAUGCAUAGUCUUCCUUACAUCACCAUGGUUACCAUGUCUACAUGCACCUCAUGCUCACACUUGGGUUGCGUGAUGGUUAAUAUUGAGUGUCAACUUGAUUGGAUUGAAGGAUGCAAAGCAUCGUUCCUAGGUGUGUCUGUGAGGGUAUUGCCAAAGGAGAUUAACAUUUGAGUCCGUGGACUGAGAAAGCCAGAUCCACAAUCAAUCCGGGUGGGGACAAUCUAAUCAGCUGCCAGCAUGGCCAGAAUAAAAGCAGACAGAAACACGUGGAAAGACCAGACUGGCUAAGCCUUCUGGCCUCCAUCUUUCUUCCAUGCUGGAUGCUUUCUGCCCUUGAACAUCAGACUCCAAGUUCUUCAGCUUUUGGAUUCUUGGACUCACACCAGUGAUUUGCCAGGGGCUCUUGGGCCUUCCACCACAGACUGAAGGCUGCACUAUCAGCUUCCCUACUUUUGAGGUUUUGGGACUCGGACUGGCUUCCUGGCUCCUCAGCUUGAAGACAACCAAUGGUGGGACUUCACCUUGUGAUCCUGUGAGUCAUUUCUCCUAAUAAAUUCCCCUUCAUAUAGACACUAUCCUAUUAGUUCUGUCCAUCUAGAGAACCCCGACAAACAUGGGUUGCUAUCAACUGGACAAAUCAUUGCCAACUAAGUUUUUUAGUGCUUCAGCACUUCUACCAUAGUUAGUGUGCACUAAUGAAUGCAAACAUUUGUAUUACCUAAUACAUGGUCUGGUACAGCAUCCUCAGAUGUGAACUAUGCUGCCUCCUGUAUCCAAAAAGGACUACCAAAUGUUGUACUUCCAUCUUAUUGCAGUGCAGUAAGAAAUAUUUUGUCCUUUAUUUUGUAGAUGUCCCAUCAUGCCCUCAACCACAAAACACCUAAAUUUUACGGUUAUAAUCGCUGUCAGUGGUUGUACGUUGAUAUUCUAUUGUUCCAGCACCAUUCUUUUCCUAUUAAAUUACACUGGCAAAUUUGAUUAAAAAAAACAACUGACUAUAUAUGCUUGUAAACAUUUCCAGAUUAUGUUAUUCUUUUAAUCUAAAUAUGUGUCCUUAUGCCAAUACCCCACUCCAUCUAUUACUGCAGUGUAUGAUAAGUCUUGAAAUCUAGUAGUGUAAGUUCUUCAACGUUGCCCUUAAUUUUUAAAAUCACUCUUGCUAUUUAAAAUUGUUUGUAUUACAUGGAAAUUUUAUAAUCAGCUUGCCAAUUUCUACAAAAGUCCUGCUGAGAUUUUAAUUGGUAUUUUGCUUGUUCUGCAGCUUAAUGCAAGAAAAUUAUCUUAACAAUAUUGAAUUUUUCAAUCUAUUAACAUGUUAUAUAUUACUGUUUACUUAGGAUUUUUUCACUUUUCCUGCCUUGUUUUGAACUGAUAUUGUGGUUUUAAGUAAUUUUUUUUAUUUCUACUAUUGGCUUAGUAACUAUGCCCCACUUUUUGAUUUUGUAGCACAGUUGACCAUUGAACAACACAAGUUUGAAUUGUGCAUGUCCAAUUGUCUAUGGAUAUUUUUCAAUAAAAGUUACACUGAGUGCAUC
rnacentral:lncRNA from 10 species